rnacentral:rRNA from 1 species
UACGAAGGGGGCUAGCGUUGCUCGGAAUCACUGGGCGUAAAGCGCACGUAGGCGGAUUGUUAAGUCAGGGGUGAAAUCCUGGAGCUCAACUCCAGAACUGCCUUUGAUACUGGCGAUCUCGAGUCCGGGAGAGGUGAGUGGAACUGCGAGUGUAGAGGUGAAAUUCGUAGAUAUUCGCAAGAACACCAGUGGCGAAGGCGGACUCACUGGCCCGGUACUGACGCUGAGGCGCGAAAGCUAGGGGAGCAAACGGG